GAUGAACGCUGGCGGCGUGCCUAAUACAUGCAAGUCGAGCGAACGGACGAGAAGCUUUCUCCCCUGAUGUUAGCGGCGGACGGGUGAGUAACACGUGGAUAACCUACCUAUAAGACUGGGAUAACUUCGGGAAACCGGAGCUAAUACCGGAUGAUAUUUUGAACCGCAUGGUUCAAAAGUGAAAGACGGUCUUGCUGUCACUUAUAGACGGAUCCGCGCUGCAUUAGCUAGUUGGUAAGGUAACGGCUUACCAAGGCAACGAUGCAUAGCCGACCUGAGAGGGUGAUCGGCCACACUGGAACUGAGACACGGUCCAGACUCCUACGGGAGGCAGCAGUAGGGAAUCUUCCGCAAUGGGCGAAAGCCUGACGGAGCAACGCCGCGUGAGUGAUGAAGGUCUUCGGAUCGUAAAACUCUGUUAUUAGGGAAGAACAUAUGUGUAAGUAACUGUGCACAUCUUGACGGUACCUAAUCAGAAAGCCACGGCUAACUACGUG
rnacentral:rRNA from 1 species